rnacentral:rRNA from 1 species
UACGGAGGUGGCAAGCGUUGUUCGGAAUUACUGGGCGUAAAGGGCGCGUAGGCGGCUCGGCAAGUCAGAUGUGAAAGCCCCAGGCUUAACUUGGGAAUUGCAUCUGAAACUGCCUUGCUUGAGUCCUGGAGGGGGUAGUGGAAUUCCCAGUGUAGCGGUGAAAUGCGUAGAUAUUGGGAGGAACACCGGCGGCGAAGGCGGCUACCUGGACAGUGACUGACGCUGAGGCGCGAAAGCUAGGGGAGCGAACGGG